UUGAGACAAGGUGCGGCUCCCUGUGUGCUAAUGAGACAUACUCACUCAUUCACUCAUUCAUUCACUCAUCCUCAUUCAUUCAUCCAGGACACUAGUGAUUCCUCCAUUAAGCAGUUCAACGACUGUUUCUGGGGGUAAUGGGAUCUGGGCCUGGCAAACAGUCACAGCAGUGGGAGGAAUAAGCUCUCAGGGAGGGAGGGGAAGGACACGUGGCCAGUUUGCCAAUGAGACAGAGACUGGAAGAAAAGAGUCAGUGCGACCCAGGCUGAUGGGUGGAGAAUUUAUUUAGUGCUGCACCCAGAUCCAUUUUGGAUUUCCCUAGAUACACGUGAUAUUCGGGUUAUAGGACAUCCAUCUGCAAAUGCCAUGGAACUCCUGGCAGACACAGGAAAGAAAGGUUUGCUGUCUCCCAUGGAAUUAUCAGGAAGGGGAAUUCCAGGCACCUCCUUGACAUGAGGGCCGUGUCCAGGUGCAGUCUGGCUGAGACACAUCACGGCAUGUGGGAAGGAGGGGCAAGAGUUUCUGGGUCAUGGGAUAUACUCAUAGGGAAUGGUUCAUCCACAUCUUCAAGGGCUUGAGAAAGAAGCCCUGAGCAGGGGACUCAUUGUUCAGCUCUGGAAGAGAAUAUGCGUCUGGGGUGUCACUUGUUGGGAAGCACAGAUCUUUAGGAGCUUCCUGAGAAUUCCCACUAGAGCCUCAGAUCUUGCACUGGCAGCACACGGGGACACAGCAGCUGGACUGGGAGCAGCAGGGCUUGCAGCAGCUGGACUGGCAGCAGGAUGACCCACAGCCUGAGGAGCAGCAGCUGGACUGGGAACAGCAGGGCUUGCAGCAGCUGGACUGGCAGCAGGAUGACCCACAGCCUGAGGAGCAGCAGCUGGGCUUACAGCAGCUGGACUGGGAACAGCAGGGCUUACAGCAGCUGGACUGGGAACAGCCACAAGAGCCACAGCCCCUCUUGGAUCCCCCACAGGAGCCACAGCCCCCCUUGGAGCCCCCACAAGGGCCACAGCUAGAGCAGGAACAGGCUGGCACACAGCAGCACAUGGGCUUGCAGCAGCAGAUGGGCACACAGCAGCUGGAGCCACAGCCCCCACAGCCAGAGCAACAGCUCCCACAGCUGGAGCUACAGCCCCCACAGCCUGAGCCACAGCCCCCACAGCCUGAGCCACAGCCUCCACAGCUAGAGCCACAGCCUCCAGAGCAGCCACAGCAGCCCAUGUUUCUGGUGGAUUGAGGGUGGAGCAGGUGGAGGAGCAGGUGAGAGGGAGGUGCAGGUGUGGAGCCCCCUGAGCCUGGGCUCUCUAUAUACCUGUCCAGAGUCAGGCAGGACACAGGGGCCCUUCCUUGUGACUGUUUUCACUAGUUUUCCAGAGCUCUAUUUUUUUCCUCUUUGGUG
rnacentral:lncRNA from 13 species